AUUGAACGCUGGCGGCAUGCCUUACACAUGCAAGUCGAACGGCAGCACGGGAGCAAUCCUGGUGGCGAGUGGCGAACGGGUGAGUAAUAUAUCGGAACGUGCUCAGUCGUGGGGGAUAACGCAGCGAAAGCUGUGCUAAUACCGCAUACGAUCUAUGGAUGAAAGCGGGGGACUCGCAAGGGCCUCGCGCGAUUGGAGCGGCCGAUAUCAGAUUAGGUAGUUGGUGGGGUAAAGGCCUACCAAGCCUGCGAUCUGUAGCUGGUCUGAGAGGACGACCAGCCAAACUGGAACUGAGACACGGUCCAGACUCCUAAGGGAGGCAGCAGUGGGGAAUUUUGGACAAUGGGCGCAAGCCUGAUCCAGCAAUGCCGCGUGCAGGAUGAAGGCCUUCGGGUUGUAAACUGCUUUUGUACGGAACGAAAAGGCUCUGGUUAAUACCUGGGGUUGAUGACGGUACCGUAAGAAUAAGCACCGGCUAACUACGUGCCAGCCGCCGCCGUAACAC
rnacentral:rRNA from 1 species